rnacentral:lncRNA from 1 species
CAUGUCACUCAAACCAGCUGUAUUAAGGAAGGUGCAAGCUUUUGGGAUUUCUGUUUGGAUUUAGUUUAGGUUCAAAAGAGCACGCACAGAUCCUGAGUGUUGUCAAGCACCCGUGACUGGGAAACGGAGGCGUCCGAUCCGUAUUGGAGUCAAUUCGCCACUUAAUUGAAAAACCCUUUGAAAAGAUUCAGCACGUUGCCAUGGAGAACAUCCCACUGAAGGAAUGUAUAGAAGUAGCAGGGAUCUGCAAUGAGAUGGGAGAAGGCAACAGGCUGUGUGGGAACCACUGAAGCUGGGAUGGCAGGGAAAGAACAUCUUAGGCUAACUCUUCAAGCCUUGCUGUCACAUUUGCUUUUGAGUCUAUGGUGUCAGCUGCCUACCAGUUGCUUUCAUCUCUAGAAAUCUGUGACUUGCAGUAUGACAAGAACAAAAGGUGACAAUACAAAGGACAAAGGGCAAGGAAUACAGACGGAGAAGCCGCUUAGAGUCUAGGAUGGCAGAGGUUCUCUUGAUCAUUUCAUUUUUGAGCGCUUGUAGAGCUUUGGUGUACCAGAGGUGCUUGAACAGCUUACCACACCACAGAUGAAUGGCCUUUGGAUUUCUCCUAAGAAAAUGUGGCUACCUGAAAUUCAACUCCAUUUUCUGGUCUUCAAUAUUUCUUUUGUGUUCAGUUUGCCAGCUGAGGAGAAGUGGCUAAGCAUAGCCUGUUACUGAUGCUAAAGCCCAAGUUCUGAACCUAACAACUCCAGCAACAUGAUCCUGUUUCAAGAGACAAAAAAGUGACUAAUGAAAGAAAACAAUUGAUGUGCUAUGUAGAGUUUAAAAGAAGGUAAAGAGAAUAAAUUAAAAGCAACAACUCUC